CCAAGUUUAGGUAGUUUCAGAAUUUUGCACCCAGCAUGUAAGGGGAGGGGCUCAGAAGUUCACAGUCUGCAGAAGUUCACAAAAAGCAGUUUUCUUUCUUUUUUUCUCUGUUCUGGGCAAGUUAACCCUUCAAGGACACCUGGGAAGGGGAGAGCUUUUUCUUCCCUUUCUUUCCUCCCCCUGCCAGCUGUUACCAUGGAGCCCAGUUGGUAACUUCCUUAUCUUAGAAAUGUAGUCAGCACUAUGAAGCCCAGCUCAAGGCCAGAGGCCUUGUUUACAUAUUUUUGUGAAAAACUAGUAAGGAGGUGUCUAGCUUUUGGAGUGCUGAUUUUUUCCAGACAGUAGCCAAGUAAAACAGGGCAACAUGAAAAUAGGAAGUUUAUCUACAUUAAACUCUUUUGUAGAGAUUCUUUUGCUGAAAGUCCUAAAAUCAGCCAUGGUGAAGACUUCUGGAGAAGGUCAGUUAAGACUUUUCUGUGGGCCUGGUAGGGAGGGGGAAGACGGGAAGGCGGGGCUGACAGCAGCUCCUUUCGAUCUGAGAAUGAGGAAGGAGAUGUGAAAGAAUAAUGGGAAAGGGGUUUGGGAUUUUCCCUAGCAAGGAAAACUUGAGCAGAAGAACAGGUAGAGCAGAGGGGAAGACGGGAAUGAAUAUCCCAAAAAGCCUGUAAGGGACUUUAAUUCUUAGUAACCUGUUUUCAGUGAUGACAAAGCAACUUUAAAGGCCAUUUCACCAGAUCUUGGAUAGGGGUCUGAGGGCUCUCCUCAGCUCAUUUGAGCUUUGGGUUAGCUGGUAAAAGGACCUGGUGGGACCCGGUGUGGGUGCUAACAGUAGAAGAGAGGAGUGAGUGGGUAAAGGGAUUCCUUUAGUAACUGCUACCUCAGCAAGGGGGCAACGGUCUGAGGAAGGGUGGUGGUGUACGUUUUUGAUCUAGUAAUUGGAGGAGAGAAAGCAGGUUACCGAGGUGGGAGUGAUGGCGGAGAGUCUGGGGCAGAAGGCUGAGGGUGAGGAUCUGUUGGAGCUGGGCGAUAGGGUGGAAAUUCAUCCGCAGGGUCAAAAGAAGUGGAUGAGUCUGGAGGAGGAGGAGAUUGGGGAUCGGUGGUUGGGGGAGUUGGUUUGCAAGCUAGACGAAUUUGUAGAGGGUUGCAAGAGGUGCAGAGAGCACAAGCAGGAAGAAAGCUUUGACAUAGCAGCUCUCUACCCAUUUUUUCCAAUGCCCACAGUAACAGUAGAGAUCCCUUAGAAUGGAGGGAUCCAGGGACCCAAAAGGGUGCUAUCUGUUUUGGUUGUCUAAGGGAUAAGUGGGCCAGGCCUGGGUGCUAUAUUUGAUCAAUUUUGGGGGUUUGAUGUCUGGUGUCAAGGAGAGGGUUUUGAGGUUAUCCAAGAGGCAUUGUAGGGGAGAGUCGACCGGCAGAGAGGACACAUUACCCAUGUCACAAAGUAGUAUAAGGAGGAGGGAAGGGGAUGCAAACUUGGUAUAGAGGAGAAGGAAGGAGACGCAACUGUAUAUAUAAGAGAGAAGGAGGAAACUGAUUUAUUGGCAAAAGGGGCGUCCUCGCUAGAGCCAAAACUCAGGAGUGCCUUAGUGGCAGGUUCGAGCUGCAGAGAUUGGUCGUCACCGAAUCCUGACAGUCGAAGCUCUCGUCCUGGACGGAGCUGGAGCCUGUGGGAGACCUUGGCCAAGGCUUUUCGGGACCCCUCCUAGAGAGGCCGGAUACUCCCAGGGCCGGAAAGAGGGGAAAGAGAGAGACAGGGGAAGAGAGAGGAAGGGAAGGGUAAGGUUCUCUCUGGAGGCCGAGUCUUGAAGGUGUGAGGACUAGGAUUUUAGGAGAGUCACCAAAACCGUGAGGUCUGGGUAGGAUGUGAUGUUAAGUUCUCUGUUAUGUGUCCCUGGAGGUUUCACAGUCUUUUGAGGGAGACCUAAGAAGCCUAUGCUGGUAAAUUACCAGCUGGGAAGGAGAAUAAAUUUGAACCCAAGAGUCUAAUCUGCCCAAGAAGGAGUCCCUGAGGGCCAUCGUGGCCUUGAAGGCUGUGGUGGGGUGUGUUCCUCCCCGCAGGUGGGCAAACAGGUUUGCCGGACAAUCAACAGCCAAAUCCUGCCGACAUCACCAUUGGGUUUAGGACUCCAGGAAGGGGAAACUCACCAAUCGAAGGUAGGUUGUGGAUGUAGUUCUGGCAAUCGAGAAAAUAGGUUCAGGUCGUCGGGUGAGUGGCACUUCCGAAGGAAGAGACCCAAAAGUGGGUUUUAACCCUCUCCCGGGUUUCGACAUCAAUGAAAGGAAAGUGACCGCAACACUCAGAGUGACCAAGAGAGCUUUAUUGCAGCAGUGCAACAGAGGAGAAGAGAGAGAAAGAGAAGGAGAGAGAGAGAGAGAGAGAGAGAGAGAGAGAGAGAGGAAGCCCGCACAAGAGAGAGAGAAAGCAAGAGAGAGAGGGGCCCGGCAGGAGGGAGUUUUUAUAGCCCAAAUCUAAUGAGGUCUCUGGGUCUGCAAGCUGCCUUGUUGGCACAAGGGGGGUUAAGUGUUCGGCCUUGAGCAGGGGGCUUGGGCGUUUGGGCUUGAAGCAAAUAGUUGAUAAAGAACCAGACAGAGGGUUUGAGAGGCCAGGUCAUCCUGCAGCUAACUUUGUUUGGCAUGCCCUGCAGACAGCUUACUCAGCCUGUCCUGCACCUAAUAGGUGGUCAGGCUGGCAGCAGGGCCCAGGGGACUCAGUGCCAGAGGGGAGUCACCAGCCACCUGCAGAAAUGUCAGGGCUCUCCUAUGAGCUGUUCAUCUCCAGGCAUGGAAACCCUCAAGGAUCUGGCUUUCUUUCUUCUUUCACAACCAUUUUUGCACCUGUGGGAAAGACUGUGGAAACAUCUGGGUAAAUGAACGCAAAGAACAAGAAAUUGAAGCAAAGCCCGUCUCCACCUCAGUCCACGGUCCAAGUUUGUCUUGGGCCCUGGCUGAGAAUUCGGGGACUACUCACUUCAUUGCAUGACUCUGGUAAAUGAGCUUAAGACCCCCACCUUGCUCUGGCCAACAUGAAGAUCCUGAGUUUCACUCACAGUGUUGAUGACAGGUGGCAUUGAUUUUGCAUAUGUGGCAGGAAACAGGGUGGCAGGUAACAGGCUUGCCUUAGAGCACAAGGCACAGGAGUCACACUUGUCCCCACAGAAGCCCUUCCUUGGUGGCCCAGAGACCACACCCCUCCUGCCUCCAGCAUCCUGAGGUAAAGAACAUGUCGGUGAGCAGGAGAGUGCUGGGAACUCUCAGUCAGGUGGGGGGAUCCUGGCUUUAACAGCGUCCCCAUCCCCACCAUUGCUAGAGCAGGUCUCCUGCGCUCAGGAUGGCCUCAGCACCAUCCCCUCACUCUCACACUCUUUAGGAUUCCCCAGGGUGUCUAGGAGGGAACUCUUCCUCACUGAAUCCUGGGCCCGAAACAGAAAUCCCAGACCAGAGAACUCACACCCCUCACCCUGACAUUUUCUUCUUUCAUUCCAGGACCAUUUUGGAAUUCACACACUUUUUUUUUUCUUCCGGAAUUUCAACAGAAGUGUAUCUGGCUCCAUACUGGUGGCUGGAGGCCAUCAAGGGACUGAACAGAGAGAACCAGGCCAUCUGGGGCACAGGUGGCUGUGGGGGAGGAAGAUGGUGGGCAGCAAUGAGAAGUGCUUGUGUGGUG
rnacentral:lncRNA from 1 species